UUCGCGCUUCCUCCUCUUUCCUCUUUAGCGCUUCCUCCUCUUGCCCUUUCACCCUAGUCUCGCUUCAAACCCUUUCGAACCCUUACACGAACCUCUCGCUGGACCUCUGGCUUCACCCUAGUCUCGCUUCUAAGCUGUCAGCACCUCUUCACCCUAGUCUCGCUUCCGCUGCAAAGUGAACCUUUUAAAGGUUCGAAGAACCUCCCCCGUCGCCGCCGUGGAAUCGUAGCCUCAGCUCCCUCGCCGCCUUUCGCCGGAGUAUCACCCCAACGUCGUCGUCACUGGGCUUUCUUAACAACAUUUUGAUGAGGAUGAUGAAGGGAGAAGGAACCAUCAGGUAGCAGAGAUUGAAGUUAGAACAUCUUUUUUGCUGACCACAAAAGACCAUAACCAUUUUCCUCUAACCAUCUUAGGCCACUCGAGAGUUCAUACCCUUUAAAUUCAAGAUUUUACACGUUUGGACUAUCAGUACCUGAGAAUACUGGAGGCCUUCAGAGAACUCAUUGACAAUCACUGAACAAACAACUACAGUAAGCACGGUUGCUUUUUAUCUUGGAAGACCAGAGGAGUUCAAAAUAACAGUGUCGCGGUAAGUAAUUUCAUUCUGAACUAAUUCAUGAUGUCUGCUAUAUGAUUAUAUGAGAGUAUUUCAAAAGAUUUAUGUCUUACAAUAUUUACUUUAAUUUUAAGUGUUUAUAAAUAAAUAUAUGUUUAGAGCAUUUUAAACAAGCUGGUAAAGGUCCAGUGAUACACUGAUCAAAAUCCUCUAAUUUGACAAACGGGGGCCUCUUAGUGAGAAAAGCUUGUCAGUUCUAUUACAUGUUGCUGGUAAUUAAAUUUUUUUAUGCAAAAUUUGACAGUGGGUCAUAGAUAAUAAAAAUCAUCUAAGAUCUCAAUUUAAGAUUUCUCGUUAAAAAUAAACAAGAUGAAGUGCUUAUACUUUUUGGUGCAUAAUAACCACCUGACCCGCCUAAUCCACGGCCCAUGACAGCCUUUAUUAGCAUAUAUAUUAUCCCACUUUUGGUUAUAUAUCAUUGUAGUUGACUGCACCAUGCUUAAACUAGUUAGAAAAUAUCAAAGUGAUUAAAUGUCAUUAACUAAUAACUAUACUCAUUUAAAGUACUAAGUUAGUUGGCAUCCGCUGGCAAAGCCAUUCCUGCCCCAACAACAACAUUUCUUCCCACUAAACAUGUCUGGUUAAGCCGUACGUUAAUGGUUCAUAAGGAUCAUUAAUUCAUUAUCUUGCAUCUAUAGCACUAUUAAUCUUUGAUUCUGGUUGAGGAAAGCAACAAAUUCAUUAAAAAAAUUGCAAGUACAACUAAAAAGAUAUAGAUUAAUAAAUAAAAAGGGUACUACUAUAACCUCGUUAUUUAAAAAUAUUGUAUAAAAAAUUAUCUCUAGCUAAUUCAAAAUGCAUGUGGUUCAAGUGCAAGUAAUCGGAUUGGUAGUCAUAUAUAUCUAGACUAGAUUAGAUAGAAAAAUAGAGGGAAUAAUUAUAAAGCUGAGGAAGAGGAGAUCCUAUGGUAGUUUUGGAUAUUUGUUAGUAAAAAAGAAAGAAAGGAACCCCACGAAUUGAAAAGUUAGUGAAGAAGGAAAGAAUUGGAAACAGUGAAGGAGAGUUAAUUUGGUGUGUAUCAUGUGGGUGGGAGGGCCUACAAUAUGCAGUGCAGCGAAGGCUUAUGCAUUGGAUUGCAUGUGACUAUGUGAGUGUAUAGGGAAGAGUUUCACAUAAAUACUUAUUUAAACGUCUGGAAGAGUAUUGUACUUAUUUGAGUUUAUCAUAUCACAUAAAUACUUAUUUAAACGUCUGGGAGAGUAUUGUACGAAAGUAACAUAAGAAUUGACUUAAAAGUUAAAUACUUUUGGCUGAAUACGUUUGUCAUUUGAUAUAGAAGAGAGAAAGAAAAUAUCUGUCAAUUAAACAAUUUAUUAGUAAUAUUUUUUUUGUAGCAUUCCAUUUUUUUUUUUUGGAAUUGUCUGCACAAUGUUUCGUCUUUCCCCAACAGUUAUAAAUUGCUAAUGAUAGUAUUUGUCUUGAAUUGGUUUGGAAUGUUUAAAUGUGCACCCUAAGUUUGAAAUGUGAUUCAUUUGCGACCUCACCAUAGCCUUCUGCCUCUAUUAUGUUGCCACCCAUUACUUCCACGUCCUUCCCAACCCUUUCUCUUUCUUGGCAUGGCCAAUCUACUGGGCUGUCCAAGGUUGCAUCCUUACUGGAGUUUGGGUCAUUGCCCAUAAGUGUGGCCACCAUGCAUUCAGUGACUACCAGUUGCUUGAUGAUAUUGUUGGCCUUGUCCUCCACUCCGGUCUCCUAGUCCCAUACUUUUCAUGGAAAUACAGCCAUCGCCAUCACCACUCCAACACUGGUUCUCUUGAGCGGGAUGAAGUAUUUGUGCCAAAGCAGAAGUCAUGUAUCAAGUGGUACUUUAAAUACCUUAACAAUCCUCCAGGCAGAGUCCUCACUCUUACCGUAUUCUAUUAUUAUUGACUUAGAAUCCUUAACCUUUUCUGCUUAUGGAGAUGAUGUAGUAAGGGUGUGUGUUGACACUGUAUACGAUGCUGAAGCCAUUGUCCCGUUACCCACUUUAGAGAUUCAGUAUUUCAGGGACGCCGUGAACUCAUUCAUUGGAUGGCCCAGACAUCUAGUGAAACCUUUAUCUUAUGAUUCUGACCUUAAUGUGCGGAAGCCAGUUGAACAUAGUAGUGAUGCAAAGCUUGCAGGUGAAUCCGAUCCAUUGGGAGAGUUGAUGAAGAUAUUGUUUUAUGUGUACCAGAAUCCAGUGGAAGUGUCGUGGGAGGCUCACCAAUUUGGACUUCCUGAGAUUGGGGCAAAAUUUUACAUCACACAUGUAGAUCUAGCAUAAAUAAUAUCAGGUGACAAGUGUUUAAACAUAGCGAUACUACAAUUGUGGACCAUAUUUAUGAAUGAGUGCGGUAGAAGCAAAGCUGAUCAGUCACUAUAUGGUUUGCUGGAGCCUCAAUCUAUACAAAAUGCUAAGGAAAGACGUCAACAAUGCCAACAAUACAUUGAAACAUGGGUCAAGGAAUCACAAAGGCAGUUGUAUUUAGGAGCUUACUUGCAUCAGGCACAUUGGCAACUAUUUGUUCUCCACCCAAGGGAAAACAUGGUCGUUUGGUUUUGUUCUCUGAGGAAGAAGCCUGAUAUUAACAUCAAAGGCGCAAUUAACAGUGCAAUGAAGACAAUAACCAGUUCUUUUGAAGGCAUGUCUAAUCAAGGUGCACCUCGGUGGGUUGAACCCAAGACUAAUGUGCAAAGUGGAGGGUUUGAGUGCGGAUAUUAUGUCAUGCACUGGAUGUGGUGCACAAGUGGUUUUCUGAUGGCUCAUCGUUAGACGUGGAGGCCAUCACAACAGUUCGACAGAAAUGGGCAACUUACUUUUUAUCUUUUAGGAAAAGCAGUUGCUAAAUUUGAUUUGUAUUAUGUACAAGUGCAUUUUUCCUGUGGUUUCAUCAAAGAAUUAGAACAAUUAUGGCUACAACUUUGUAUGUUGGAUACAUUAGAGGAUCAUUACUUCAAAAAAGGGUAUUCAAUUUGCAUGGACUUAUAUAUGUAGGAUGCAUGUCAUUUGAUGCUAUUGUUCAGAUUUCAUUUGAUGUUAUUAUUUAA